CACCCUUUUAGAGGUGUGGCGACUAACAAGAUAUUGACUCAGCAUGGUGGUAGAGGUAGAUUGAAGAUGAAGAUGGAUGAACUCGAAAACAAUGAGCCUGGUAAGAUGGAUAAACUCUAACAUUAACCUGGAGGUGUAUUUUAUAUGUUUGGGAGCGUGAAAAUGGGAUCGUGAUUGGGAGUGUGAGACUGGGAUCCUGAUUGGGAGCGUGAGACUGGUAAGUUUUGAGUCAUAUUGUUGCCUUCCCAGAAAAGGAGCUAUCUAUGGUAAGAUGAUAAAUUCGUCAUUAUGUUGCCUUCCGAGAAUUUGAGCUAUCUAUGGUAAGAUGAUAAUUAGUCAUUAUGUUGCCUUCCCAAAGUAUAGAGCUUUCUUUUGAGUAUUUGAGACAUGUCAAUGGUGUGAUUUCGAGAAUUUGAGACAUGUCGAAUUUGAUGUAGGUGGUGGUGUCGAUGGAUUGGCCAGAAAUCACCAAGUAUAGAGCUUUCUUUUUAGGAGGAAACCAGAUUUUAUGCCUUUUGUCAGGUUUCUAUUUAGGUUUCCUAUUUUAUAGGUUUCCAGUUCUAUAGGUUUCCUAUUUUUGUUUACACGCUGGACAUUUAGGUAAGAUGGUUAUGAUGGCAAUAAACAAAAUGCCUCUGAUUGUAAGAUGGUUAUAUGGUAAGAUGAUUAUGUCUCCGAUUUU